UCCUUCCUUGUCUUGGGGAGCAGAAAUGUUCAAUGAACGUCUAGUGAGGACAUUGCUGCUGACACCAAUGAUAUAAUAACCCCCGCUCGCUGAUCUCUGCGAUUAGCGUUCGGAAUUUUUGGAAAAGACUCCCUUACUUCAUAGGGAGUCGU
rnacentral:ncRNA from 1 species